rnacentral:rRNA from 1 species
UACGAAGGGGGCUAGCGUUGUUCGGAUUUACUGGGCGUAAAGCGCACGUAGGCGGAUCGUUAAGUCAGGGGUGAAAUCCUGGAGCUCAACUCCAGAACUGCCUUUGAUACUGAGGAUCUUGAGUUCGGGAGAGGUGAGUGGAACUGCGAGUGUAGAGGUGAAAUUCGUAGAUAUUCGGAAGAACACCAGUGGCGAAGGCGACUCACUGGCCCGAUACUGACGCUGAGGCGCGAAAGCGUGGGGAGCAAACAGG